GAGCCCUUAGUUUAAUAGGUAAAAUACCUAAUUGUCAUUUAGGAAGAUCCCAGUUCGAAUCUGGAAGAGCUCG
rnacentral:tRNA from 5 species